ensembl:antisense Gm38186 predicted gene, 38186
CACAUCUACCAGACUCUCUGGGUCCCUUCACUUCCCGAGGGGAUUAGCAGCCGCUCACCUCUGCCUUGGGCCAAUGGAAUUGCACCGCCUUUGGGGUCUGCUCAGCCUCUAGGGGUCUUCACUCGGGAGGAGGGCGGGGCAGGUGACGCAGCUAUAGCCUCGGCUUCUGGGAAUGGGCGGGCCAUCGACCCGGGACCACCAGCGCCAACCCAGGCUCGCCUGCGAGUUUGCUCCUCCUGUGCUGUUUAAAAGUUAUCCAUGGGAAACACAGGUGGAGGCUGAGCUCUGAUGACUAUGGGAAGUACAGAGGGCCAGCAGCCCCUAACCACAGUUCAGAAGUAUAUGACACGCAGAAGAUGAAAUGGUAAACAAUUGAAUCGGAAGACAGAGGAAGCACAAUCUAAGUCUCUAGAGCAAACAAUAAAAACAAUUAACUUUAAAUAGGCAUA